rnacentral:rRNA from 1 species
UGCAGUCGUACGAGAGUUUUUAACUCAAGUGGCGGACGGGUGAGUAACACGUAAGAAUUUGCCUUUAGGAGGGGGACAACAACUGGAAACGGUUGCUAAUACCCCAUAUGCUUUCGAGUGAAAUGGAUUUUUCCGCCUAGAGAGAAGCUUGCGGCUGAUUAGCUUGUUGGUGAGGUAAUGGCUCACCAAGGCGACGAUCAGUAUCUGGUUUGAGAGGACGAUCAGACACACUGGAACUGAGACACGGUCCAGACUCCUACGGGAGGCAGCAGUGGGGAAUUUUCCGCAAUGGGCGAAAGCCUGACGGAGCAAUACCGCGUGGGGGAUGACGGCCUAUGGGUUGUAAACCUCUUUUUUCAGGGAGGAAUAAAAUGACGUGUACCUGAAGAAUAAGCAUCGGCUAACUCCGUGCCAGCAGCCGCGGUAAGACGGAGGAUGCAAGUGUUAUCCGGAAUCACUGGGCGUAAAGCGUCUGUAGGUGGUCCAAUAAGUCAACUGUUAAAUCUUGAGGCUCAACCUCAAAACCGCAGUCGAAACUAUUAGACUAGAGUAUAGUAGGGGUAAAGGGAAUUUCCAGUGGAGCGGUGAAAUGCGUAGAGAUUGGAAAGAACACCGAUGGCGAAGCACUUUACUGGGCUAUUACUAACACUCAGAGACGAAAGCUAGGGUAGCAAAUGGGAUUAGAUACCCCAGUAGUCCUAGCCGUGAACAAUGGAUACUAGAUGUUGAAC